CAAAAUCUGUUUCAUCCAUGCUCAUCAAAUCUUCCCCACAAGGUAACUCCCAAAUCAUUUCUUUCAAAUUAUGUUAAUUAGUCAAUUAAUUGAUUUAUUACCUAAUUAAUCUAUUAUUGGCUAAUUAACUACAAAUUACACCCAAAUAAUACCCCAAAUGGCCGGUCCCUAUUUUCCUAAUAGGACCAGCCCAAUCCCUAUAAAUAGCUCUCCAUUCUUUCCAAAAACUACUUCCAGGUCUCUUGUUAAAAUUCUCAAACACGUUCUCUCUAAAGGUUCUUUGACCAAAGCGCCCCCCCCCAAUUCAUCGUGGGCGCGUGAGGCUUUUGGCCUUGACCAAAGGUGUUAAUUUUUUUGUAGGUGCAAUUUUGUCCAAGAUCAAGGAGGAAGAAAUUUGCAUCCACAUAAGGGACUUCAUCUUCUACUUCCUCAUUCGUAUUCUAACUAGCAUUUGAAAAAGCAUCAUUGAUAAUGUCCAUAAUUUGUUCAUUUGGGUCCACAACAGAUUCAACUGUCUCCACUGCUCGGAUAAUGUGUGAGGUGAAGCAUGUUGUAUUUGUUCUCCAUGAUGAUUCCAAGUAGUAUAGGUUUCCAUCGUCCCAUUUCUAUCUAAAAGGUAUCGAACAGUUUCAAAAUAUUCAAUUAUUGAGUUGUUACACUUUCUACAAGGACACCGAAUUUGAGUUGAACCCCGAUUGUUUGCAAUUGAAAAAUCAAUGAACUAAUUUAUUCCAUCCAAAUAAUCAUCAGCACAUCUAUUAGGAUUAUAUAUCCACUGUUUGUCCAUAUCACCUUUAAACAUAAAAAUUUACAAGGGUUACAACAACUUCAAUUAUGACAUGCCACCUUAUGCCUCCAGUAUAGGUCCUAUCUCAUUCGAGAAUGCACGAUUACGUGCUAUAAUUUAUGGUUCUAACAUAUUAGAGUUCGAUUGUGGGAAAAUUUCGGCAGCAUCUCCUUGUAAUUCUUCAAGUGCCGCAUAUACAAAAAAACUACGAUGCACGCGAAGAAUGGAAAGAGAUGCUACCAAAUUUCCCACGUUCAAACUCUAAUGCUACAAACUGUGCAUUCUCAAACUGUCAAAAAAUUUGGGAUAAUUCAAGAAUUAAUUGGAUCACAAUCAUGCUUUCGCAUCCAUUUACAAAAUCUAACUAAUUCUCAAACUAGAAACUAAGCUUAUAUGAACAUUGCAAACAAUUUUUUACACAUCCAUACAAAAAUGUUUGCAUACAAAUACAUAAUGACACACCCUGAUCCGGAGGAUCCAGGUGUGCUGGCCGUCACGUGGGCGUGACGUAACCAUAAGCACGACACGGAAGCGUAAUAACAACAUAUAACAACAGAAAUUCAACCCAAACUCAACAUAACCACAUACGGACAUAACCGGACGAGUUACAAGUAAACACAUAAGUUCAGAGCAUAGAUUAACUGCAGUCAAGUAGGACUAAAAUAAGAAUACAUCACCCUCAGGUGAGUCCUACAUGUCCCAAAUCUGUCAGAAAGCCGGAAAGGACCUCGUGAGCCAACCACCGCUAAACUAGAACCUGGAGGGGCGCAAAACAAAAUGAGUGGGUCAGUAAAACAAAUUAGUUUUCCAAAACAUUUCAUUAAAACAGUUAUAUCCCCUCGCCGUAAAAACCUGUAUACUUUCCCAGAAAUAUAUAACCAUAUAAAAUCUCAACAUUUAAAUCUCAAAUCUUUAACAUUUUCAAGAAAACAUGCCAUGACAUAAAUAAAAAUAUAAAUCAGGUGAAUAAGGAAUCAAUCGGAGACCCUGCAGUUGGUCCUAUACGAUUAAUUCAAUAGCUCAAAUCCCACUAAGCCGGAGUCACCACAGUGACCUAUACGGCCCUACUCUGCACAUUACUCGGAACUACGUAAGGUAGUCUAUACGAUGAAAGGUGUAAAAAUACGCUCUAGUGCUUCUCUCAUCAUAUCAUCAGCGCGCAUAACUAAGGUCACCCACUAGUCGGAAUCACGCCUAGUGAUCUGUACGACUAGCAUGUCGGAACCCUCACAUGGUCUGUACGACAUCCACCUACUUGGAUCCAAGACGAGCGUGCGGUGUGGUGAAUAAUAUAAGCACUAACACCUAGGGUGCAGAUUAUGAGCUCAACUCAUCUCAACAACAACAAUUCAAUGAAUAAAUGAACUCACCUGACUUACCUGUGCCUCCACAGCACCAUGCAACAUGUAUGCAUCAUAUUUCAAUCAUAUAGUUCAUAAACCAAUUCAUGAUUUUCAAAUAAUUCUAUGCAUGGCAUAUUCAAAACAUAUUUUCAUAUAAACAUUUUUCUGGGAAAAACAGUAGUAUAUAGGUAAUACGAAAACAAAACUGCCCACUCACUGAUAAGUCGACGGGUCGUAACCCCCGUGGCGUCCCUGGAUGCGAUCGUCCUCGGGAUACGUCUCACCUAUAUGCGAAACAACUAUAAAAACAUUAAUUUUAAGCACAUCACCAAUAAUUUGAAAUAACUUCUCAUACGAUGCUCAAUUUUGGUAUAUUAAUAUACCACAUCGACCUACUCGACGUCACGAGCGUCGAGAAAUUUUUAGAAAAAUUUUUGGAAGCCCCACGCGCCCCCACGCGCCACACGUGGCACGGGUCCACGCGCUGGCCACGCGCAGCACGUGCAGCGCACGUGUCGUCUUCUUCGCAGGUCUCGCCGGACUGGUUCUCCGGUGGCCGGACUCCGGCCGAACUCCGGCCGAUUUUCAAACUCACUAUUCUCCUUCGUUUUUCACCCAUUUUCUUCGUAUUUUAUACCAAAUUGAAGCCCUAAGAGUGUACAAUCACGUUGGACUUGUUUUAGGGCCUAAAAACUACGAAAUCUCACCUUGGAAAAACCAAAGAUUCGGCCAAACUUGAAACCUACGAUCCCGACGUCCAAAACUCUCCAACGAACGUCCCCGAGCUUCCUUAGAACCUCCUAAAGCUCACCACAAGCUUGAAAUCUCCUGAAACACAACAUUUUUACGUUCGCAUGAACAGUACCUCAAAAAUGGAGGUUCGGGAUCUAUGUGAAAUCGAAGGUUUCACUUCCUAAAACUAGCACCAAUGAACUCAGGACGACGAAAGGAUGAAGAUGCAUACCUUAUUUGCCUCGAUCCGUCGAGUUUUGAAGGGUUUUGGGUGAAGGCCGUACGUAUAGGGUGAGGGGAAAGAGAGAGAUCGUGAGGGAGAGGGACAGAGAGAGCUACGGGAGGGAGAGAAGACAGGGAGUGCGUGUGUGUGUGAUUGUGUGGUCCAACACAAUCCUCACCAUCCAUCCAAUUCCCUAACCACAAAAAUUUCCAAAUUCCAAAAUUAAAAUCCCAAAACUUACAAAAUUAAUUCAAUAAUGUCGCACACACACGUACCCGAAUGUCCGUCAAGGGUAGUUACGUCAAUUCACGUCCCCGAAAUUCCCACAAUCAAAUAACCACUUAGUACCCAUAAAAUAACCUUGGGUACAUCUCUCUCAUCCGAUCUUCCGUCUCCCAGGUGGCUUCCUCUGCAGAAUGGUUCAUCCACAAUACCUUUACCAAACUCACCGUCUUGUUCCUCAGAACCUUAUCUUUCCAAUCCAAGAUAGUGACCGGUUCCUCAUCAUACGUCAAAUCCGGAUUAAUCUCUAACGGUUGAGGAGGGAUCACAUGAGAAGGAUCAGAAAUAUAAUGCCGAAGCAUAGAGACAUGGAACACAUUAUGGACCUUAGAUAACUCCGGAGGCAGUUCCAACCGGUAGGCAACUUCACCAACUCUUUCAAUGAUCACAUAAGGUCCAAUAUAUCUCGGACUUAGCUUCCCUCUUUUCCCAAAUCGUACUACACCUCUCCAAGGCGACAAUUUCAAGAAUACCCAAUCACCCACAUCAUACACUCGAUCAGUAGUAUGCCGAUCCGCUAAACUCUUAUGUCGAUCCUGGGCUGCUUUCAGGUUUGACUUAAUUACCUGAACAUUUUGAGUCGUCUCGUCCACGAUCUCAGGGCCUUCUAAUACCCGUUCACCAACCUCAGACCAACAUAAUGGCGUUCGACACGCCCUACCAUAAAGUGCCUCGAAUGGGGACAUACCAAUGCUCGAGUGAAAACUGUUAUUAUAAGCAAACUCCAUUAAGUCCAGACGAUCAUGCCAAGAAUCACCAAAUUGCAGUACUGAAGAUCUCAACAUAUCCUCCAACGUCUGAAUGGUCCUCUCUGAUUGCCCAUCAGUUUGAGGAUGAUAAGCUGUGCUAUACAGUAAUUGAGUACCCAGAGCUUCCUGAAAAGCCACCCAAAAUUUAGAAGUAAACCUCGGGUCUCGAUCGGAGAUAAUAUUUACUGGGACUCCAUGAUACUUGACAAUCUUCGAAAUAAACAACUUAGCCAAUUUAUUCAGAGGGUAUUUCUCCCUCACAGGAAUGAAAUGCGCAGACUUGGUGAGUCGAUCCACAAUCACCCAAAUACCAUCAAAUCCAUUUCGCGUACGAGGAAGUUUAUACACGAAAUCCAUUGUUAUAUUUUCCCAUUUCCACUGGGGAACAGGAAGGGGUUGCAUUCGCCCAAAGGGCUUCUUCCUUUCUGCUUUCACUUGCUGGCAAAUAAUAUACACCUGCUCACAUAUUCUGCAAUUUCUCUUUUCAUACCCGGCCAAUAAUAAAAUGGUCGAAUGGUAUGAUACAUUUUUGUUCCUCCCGGAUGCAUCGCAUAAGCUGAACAAUGUGCUUCAUCCAGAAUUUCCUUCUUCAAUUCCUCAUUAUUCGGAACAUACAUUCUGUCUUCUUGCAUGAGCAUACCAUCUGAUUCCCGAAUUCUGAGGUCUUUCUUUUUCCCUUCACUUCUUAACUGAACCAACUCUUGAACUUCCUCAUUCACCAUCUGAGCUGCAAGUAUACGGUCCACCAAAACUGGCCUGACUUGAAAACUAGCAAGAAAAGCUCCAUCUCGGUCUUCAAUUUCCAACCUUACCCCCGUUGUCCUCAAUUCAGCAAGAAGAGGAACACGACUCGCAUAUAAGGCAUUAAGCCUACCUUGAGGUUUCCUACUCAGUGCAUCCGCUACUACAUUAGCACGACCUGGAUGGUAUUCAAUAGAACAAUCAUAAUCACUUAACAAUUCCAUCCACCUUCGCUGACGAAGAUUAAGAUCAUGCUGAGUAAACAAAUACUGAAGACUCUUGUGAUCAGUGAAGAUCUUACACUUCUCACCAUACAAGUAAUGCCUCCAAAAUUUUCAAAGCAAAAACAAUUGCUGCCAAUUCAAGAUCGUGAGUAGGAUAGUUCCUUUCAUGAUUUUUCAACUGCCUAGAAGCAUAGGCAAUCACCUUAUUAUGCUGCAUCAAAACACAUCCCAAACCAUUUAAUGAAGCAUCACUAUAUAUCUCAAAAUUACCGUUAUCGUCGGGAAGUACCAACACCGGUGCAUGAGUGAGGCAAUACUUCAAUUGUUGAAAACUCCGCUCACAAUUCUCAUCCCACUCAAAUUUAACAUCCUUCCUGGUCAACUUUGUCAACGGUAAAGCAAUCAUAGAGAAAUCCUGAACGAACCGUCGAUAAUAACCUGCUAAGCCAAGAAAACUUCGUACCUCCGUGACGGUUCGAGGUUGCUCCCAAUUCUCCACUGCUGCAAUCUUUUGAGGAUCAACUUGAAUACCUUGAGCUGAUACAAACAUGCCCCAAAAAUGCCACUUCAGUCAACCAAAACUGACAUUUACUGAACUUGGCAUACAACUGAUGCUCCCUUAAUUUCCUUAACACCAAAUUAAGGUGUCGGAUAUGAUCUGCUUGGGACUUAGAGUAUACCAGAAUAUCAUCAAUAAAAACAAUAACAAAUUUAUCAAGAUAUUUCUGGAAUACCUCAUUCAUUAAUCUCAUAAAAGCUGCAGGUGCAUUAGUCAACCCAAACGGCAUAACCGAAAAUUCAUAAUGUCCGUACCGAGUUCGGAAAGCCGUCUUAGGUACAUCGUCUUCUUUAAUCUUCAAUUGAUAAUACCCGGAUCUCAAAUCAAUCUUAGAAAAUACACACGCACCUUUCAGCUGAUCAAACAAAUCAUCAAUGCGGGGCAAUGGAUAACGGUUUUUAAUCGUUACCCGGUUCAAUUGUCUAUAAUCAAUACACAAUCGAAGAGUUCCAUCCUUCUUUCUUCACAAAUAAUACUGGGGCACCCCAAGGUGAAGAACUAGGUUGAAUAAAACCUUUAUCAAGUAAUUCUUGCAACUGGAUUUUUAAUUCCCUUAACUCAGCAGGAGCCAUUCUAUAAGGAGUCAGAGAUAUAGGGUCCGUACCUGGAAGCAAAUCAAUAGAGAAUUCCACCUCUCUGUCUGGCGGCAAUCCCGGCAAAAUCAUCAGGGAAAACAUCCGGAUAAUGUCUGACCACACCAACUUCUUCUAUACUAGUAGGAGCAACAUCAUUUAAUACCACAUGUGCCAAAUAUCCCUGACAACCCUUCGAUAAUAAUUUCCUCGCCCUUAUGGCAGAAAUAACUCCAUGUCUCACCCCACUUCUCUCGCCCACAAAAAAUAACCUCGGGUAAUCCAGGACGAUAAAAAGUAACUGAUUUACCAUAACAAUCAAUAUGGGCACGAUUAUGGUGUAACCAAUCGGCCCCUAAAAUCACAUCGAAAAUCCACAAUAUCUAACGGAAUAAGAUCAGCGGACAUAAUCACGCCCUCAACCAUCACUGGACACCCCAGAUACACACUAUCCACAAUACAUUUAUCUCCUCUAGGCAUGGCAAACUCUAAAUCAAAUCCUAGAGGUGAAGGGUGAGGUUGGGUUAUUUGAGCAAACGUAUGAGAAAUCACAGAGUGCGCGUAGCACCACAAUCAAUCAAAACCUUAGCAAAAUGACCAAGAACAUUUAACGUACCCAUUAUCAAGUCUGGAUGGUUCUGAGCCUCCUGCAGGGAACAUAUGAUUAACUCGCCCCUGAGCUUGCUGACGUCCACCUCGGCCUCUAUUGCCCUGAUUACCUCGUCCCUGAGGAUUACGUCCCUGGCCUGGCUGACUAGGCUGCCUGGAUGAUCCUGCACCACCAGUAGCAACUUCCCCCUGACGGGGCUGGCCUCCCUGAUGCCACUGCGAUCCACCAGCUGGCAUAGAGGAAUAAGAAGAAUAACCUCCAAAAUCCUGAGAAUACCCUGCCUGAGGAUAAGGCUCCUGAGAAUACUGAUAAGGUCCGGAAGCAUACGGAGCAGCAUCCCCCUGAUAGUGGUAGGCACCACCACGACUCGGCUGGCCAUAACCACCCGGUCCAAAACUCUGCUGAACUGGUGCUGGAGGUGGCAUAUUAGUCUGCUGCGGUCUCUGCUGACCCUGGGGGCACUGAGAAGCCCGAUGUCCCAUCUGCCCACACGUAAAACAAGCACCAGAACCUCUCCUACACUCACCAUGGUGACGGGAGUUACAACGGCGGCACCAUGGAGCGCCAGAUCCACCAGCAUCCCUCUGACCCUGAAAUCUGGGUCCACCAGAAAAUCUUCCACCACCUCUCCUCGGGCCAGUAAAACUAUAUCCCCCACUAGAAGAACUCGAACUCGCUCCACUCUUCUUAAAACUCUGUGUCUGUCGAGGUCCAGGAAUAGAAAUACCCUUACCCUUAUCAUUCUUCUUCUGACCCUCAUUCUUGUCCUCGUCAUCCUCACUGUCAGGAAGAUUAUCAGAGUCCUCCAUCCUAACCAAAAUCUCGAAAUACUCAUGAUAAUCAGCGCAGGGAAGUGCAUUGGCAAAGGUACGCCACUUCUUCUUAGAUCCCAACUUGAAACGUCGAAGCAUCUCUCCCUGAUUACCAGCUAUAUCAGUGUCAUAACGAGACAAAUCAGUAAACUUUCUAUAAUAUUCAUGUGCCGACAUAUUUCUCUGUUUCAACCUGGUGAAUUCCUGCUUCUUACGGUCAAUAUACUCAGGAGGAACGAAUCUCUUCAUAAAAUGCUCCUUGAAUACUUUCCAGUCGGCUGCCGUCUCAGGUGACAUGUACCUAGCCUGAUUUAUCCACCAUGCUGCUGGUUCACGACCCAGAAACCAAGUGGUGGUCUCCACCCACCUAUUAGCAGGGAGAUUCCCCUGACUCUCUGCAUCACCUGAAAGGUUUUUCUCAAUAUGAUCAAGCCAUUUCUCUGCCCCCUCAUGACUUUCAUUACCCAUAAACCGAUCUAACUUCAAGUUGUACAUGGUCUCCAGAGGUGUCCUCGGAGGAGGGGGAGGACGAAUCACAUUCUGUAAAGCCUGGGCCAUCGCUUCCCCUAACUGAGUAAUAUCCGGGAAAUUAGGUUCAGGAGUACGGCGGGACUCCCUACGCUCUCUACGAGGCGGCAUGAUUCUGACAGAAAACAUCAAAAGAUCGUUAAGACAUUAACAAUUUUACAGGACUGCAACCUAAGCUCUGAUACCAAACUGACACACCCUGAUCCGGAGGAUCCAGGUGUGCUGGCCGUCACGUGGGCGUGACGUAACCAUAAGCACGACACGGAAGCGUAAUAACAACAUAUAACAACAGAAAUUCAACCCAAACUCAACAUAACCACAUACGGACAUAACCGGACGAGUUACAAGUAAACACAUAAGUUCAGAGCAUAGAUUAACUGCAGUCAAGUAGGACUAAAAUAAGAAUACAUCACCCUCAGGUGAGUCCUACAUGUCCCAAAUCUGUCAGAAAGCCGGAAAGGACCUCGUGAGCCAACCACCGCUAAACUAGAACCUGGAGGGGCGCAAAACAAAAUGAGUGGGUCAGUAAAACAAAUUAGUUUUCCAAAACAUUUCAUUAAAACAGUUAUAUCCCCUCGCCGUAAAAACCUGUAUACUUUCCCAGAAAUAUAUAACCAUAUAAAAUCUCAACAUUUAAAUCUCAAAUCUUUAACAUUUUCAAGAAAACAUGCCAUGACAUAAAUAAAAAUAUAAAUCAGGUGAAUAAGGAAUCAAUCGGAGACCCUGCAGUUGGUCCUAUACGAUUAAUUCAAUAGCUCAAAUCCCACUAAGCCGGAGUCACCACAGUGACCUAUACGGCCCUACUCUGCACAUUACUCGGAACUACGUAAGGUAGUCUAUACGAUGAAAGGUGUAAAAAUACGCUCUAGUGCUUCUCUCAUCAUAUCAUCAGCGCGCAUAACUAAGGUCACCCACUAGUCGGAAUCACGCCUAGUGAUCUGUACGACUAGCAUGUCGGAACCCUCACAUGGUCUGUACGACAUCCACCUACUUGGAUCCAAGACGAGCGUGCGGUGUGGUGAAUAAUAUAAGCACUAACACCUAGGGUGCAGAUUAUGAGCUCAACUCAUCUCAACAACAACAAUUCAAUGAAUAAAUGAACUCACCUGACUUACCUGUGCCUCCACAGCACCAUGCAACAUGUAUGCAUCAUAUUUCAAUCAUAUAGUUCAUAAACCAAUUCAUGAUUUUCAAAUAAUUCUAUGCAUGGCAUAUUCAAAACAUAUUUUCAUAUAAAACAUUUUUCUGGGAAAAACAGUAGUAUAUAGGUAAUACGAAAACAAAACUGCCCACUCACUGAUAAGUCGACGGGUCGUAACCCCCGUGGCGUCCCUGGAUGCGGUCGUCCUCGGGAUACGUCUCACCUAUAUGCGAAACAACUAUAAAAACAUUAAUUUUAAGCACAUCACCAAUAAUUUGAAAUAACUUCUCAUACGAUGCUCAAUUUUGGUAUAUUAAUAUACCACAUCGACCUACUCGACGUCACGAGCGUCGAGAAAUUUUUAGAAAAAUUUUUGGAAGCCCCACGCGCCACACGUGGCACGGGUCCACGCGCUGGCCACGCGCAGCACGUGCAGCGCACGUGUCGUCUUCUUCGCAGGUCUCGCCGGACUGGUUCUCCGGUGGCCGGACUCCGGCCGAACUCCGGCCGAUUUUCAAACUCACUAUUCUCCUUCGUUUUUCACCCAUUUUCUUCGUAUUUUAUACCAAAUUGAAGCCCUAAGAGUGUACAAUCACGUUGGACUUGUUUUAGGGCCUAAAAACUACGAAAUCUCACCUUGGAAAAACCAAAGAUUCGGCCAAACUUGAAACCUACGAUCCCGACGUCCAAAACUCUCCAACGAACGUCCCCGAGCUUCCUUAGAACCUCCUAAAGCUCACCACAAGCUUGAAAUCUCCUGAAACACAACAUUUUACGUUCGCAUGAACAGUACCUCAAAAAUGGAGGUUCGGGAUCUAUGUGAAAUCGAAGGUUUCACUUCCUAAAACUAGCACCAAUGAACUCAGGACGACGAAAGGAUGAAGAUGCAUACCUUAUUUGCCUCGAUCCGUCGAGUUUUGAAGGGUUUUGGGUGAAGGCCGUACGUAUAGGGUGAGGGGAAAGAGAGAGAUCGUGAGGGAGAGGGACAGAGAGAGCUACGGGAGGGAGAGAAGACAGGGAGUGCGUGUGUGUGUGAUUGUGUGGUCCAACACAAUCCUCACCAUCCAUCCAAUUCCCUAACCACAAAAAUUUCCAAAUUCCAAAAUUAAAAUCCCAAAACUUACAAAAUUAAUUCAAUAAUGUCGCACACACACGUACCCGAAUGUCCGUCAAGGGUAGUUACGUCAAUUCACGCCCCCGAUAUAGAAAUCCCGGGACGGGCUGUGACACAUAAACUCACAACAAUUAUAAACUACAUAUAAAACAAUUUCAAUGAAUUGAAAAUAAAUAAGUUAGUUAAGAAAAUAUACCUCCGAGAUUUACGGCAACACUACUAAAACUACUAAAUAUUCCAGAAGGAAGGCAACUGCUGCAAUUGUUUUGCAACUUCUGCCUUCCUGCAUUCUGGUUAAAUUCAAUAAAGUGGAAAGACUUUACGCAACGAAGCACCGUUGUGCAAAACAUGGUGCUUCCACUUUUGAUGCCAUCCAACUACGCUUUGCCGCGUUUUUAAAACACUUUGUGCGAUGAACUACAUUUAAGAAAAAAAAAUUGUGCGAGGAACCAUAGUUCGUCAUGCAUUACCUUUUUUUUUCUUUUUAUAUUUCAUUUUUUGAAAAAAAAAAGAAUUGAAUUUUUCCUUUUAGUCUUCAAUUUUUUUCAAACAACAUAAAUACUUAAUAAACCAAGAACUUAAUUCAUUAAACCAUUCGUGCAUAAUUAAUUAAUAUAAAUAUUUAUUAAAAUGCAUUAAUUUUAUUUAAAAUAAACAUUAAGUACAUAUUUAAUUAAACUGUUCAUAAUAAAAAACUUCUAAUUCAGAUCUCAUUAUUAAAUAAGUAAUAAAAUUAUAUAAAAAAAACACUAUUCUACUCCUUCAUAGGUAGUUCUAGUUCUCGCUGUAGUUCUGCCGCACAUUGAUUAUCAAACUUCCACUCUCGGAAAUGAGACUUGAAGAUGUUAUCGAUAGCCUUCAUCAAAUUUGGGUUACUUUUGUCAAGGUCCCAAUUAGGCUGUCAUGCGAAAAUUAAUAAAUUAAAAUCUCACUAUUAUUAAAUUUAACAAACAUAAUUAUUAUUUAACUAAUAACUUAACACAUACAACUAACUCAUCGAUCAAGUACAUCUUCAUCUCCUCAGGGAUGGCUCUCUAACACUCCCAAUCCACACCACAUUUGUCAUGCACCAAUACCCCAACGUCAGACCAAAAGUUGGCGUGC
rnacentral:lncRNA from 1 species